rnacentral:lncRNA from 1 species
CGCCAGUAGCUCCUGCCCUCGGCCGCCGGCUUGGGCGCGUACAGUUCCUGCGGCCUCUCCACGGGCGCCAUGGCUUCGAGCUUCACUCCUCACCCUCACGCUUGGUUCGCGCCUUGGUGUGGACUGGAAAUGGAGGAAGGAGUGUGGUGAGCUGCAGCUCCAGCCUCCAGCCGUGUAGAUAUGUGGCCCAAGCGUGGGUUCGUCAGUGAGUGAGCCAAACGUCUUCCUUUGUAGUCUUGCGCUCGACGAGUCCCUGUCUUCAUUUGAGCUUGUGCAUACUUGCAUCGCAUGAGCCAUUUGGAAUUAUUGCUUUUCG